GACGAACGCUGGCGGCGUGCUUAAUACAUGCAAGUCGAACGGAAAGGCCCUGCUUUUGCUGGGUGCUCGAGUGGCGAACGGGUGAGUAACACGUGAGUAAACUGCCCUUGACUUUGGGAUAACUCCAGGAAACUGGGGCUAAUAUCGGAUAGGAGAUCCUGCUGCAUGGUGGGGGUUGGAAAGUUUCGGCGGUUGGGGAUGGAUUGGAGGCUUACGGGCUAGUUGGGGAGGUAGGGGUUUACAACGGCUGUGAGGGGUAGCCGGCCUGGGAGGGGGGCCGGCCACCAUGGGACUGCGAUACGGCGCAGACUCGAACGGGAGGCAGUGGGGGGGAGUCUGGCACAAUGGGCGGAAGCCUGAGGCAGCGGCGCCGCGUGCGUGAUGACGGCCUUCGGGUUGAAAACCACUGUCGCCGGUGACGAGGCGUGAGUGACGGUAAUGGGUAAAGAAGCACCGGCUAACUACGUG
rnacentral:rRNA from 1 species